AUGCUAACCCAUACAAUGCCAUAUUCUAGAAAUAAAUCACAAGUGUACAUCAAGCCUCUGACAAAGGACCCACUGCAGGUGCAGAUAUGCCACUGUCCGUGCAUGUGCCACAGAUUCUAUACCUUAUUUUUGAAGUGCCUCAACCAACAUCUCUUUAGAUAUUUUAACAAAUUACUAAACUACCCCUUGGUGUCUGCACAGGAACAGCGGGACCAAACGGUUCAAAGAGCAGAGUGCAUCCUCAUCAUGGACUGCCUCCAUGGAGAGAACGUACAGUUCGGCCUAUGGGCAUGGGGCCAGUGUGCGAGGUGUGAAGGCCUAAUGGUUUGAAGGUGUGAGGGCAAAUAACAAUUCCAAUCAUUGAAGUAGAAAUGGGUUCUGGUACAGCACGCAACUCCCUCGAAUCUAUUCGGUUAGGUGCAAACAUGACUGCCUUCCUGAAUAUUAUUUUUUAAAUGUGAUCUUGGUCGAACAGUUUGCCCCAUCUAGGCCGCUGAUGUUGAAGUCUUGCUGGUGUCUGUUCACUGCUCAACAGCCCUCUAGAAGCGCCCCUGUAGUGAGCCCCCCACCAUGAUGGGUAUGAUGAGCACAACCGAGCUGGACUGCAAAGAUGCACUGGCUCCUUUGGCAAUGUUGUUCUUGGUGACGUCGGGCAUCUUGGUCAUGUUGGAACUCGCACCGCCAGCUCUGGUCGUAGCAUUCAUGGCAGGGGACUGUGUGGUAGUGUUUUGCGCGUGGAUCUAAAACAGGAGAGCAGAGGAGCUUGUCACAUGUGGAAACUACCGAAACUUUAAACAUUUGACUAAUCGGGACAAUUAUCAAUAGGACCGCACUUUCGUACGACUAAUUUUAUAAAGGUCAAACGUUCAGCUAGGCACAGUAGCCUAGGCAGUAAUAAUACAAUAGCCCUAUCGCAAUUUGUUCCAACAAAAUGCACCUUAGAAAACGUAAUACAUGUAAGCGCCAUCACCUUGUGAACAAUGUUAUCCAUAGCCUAUAGGAUCAUGGGCAACGUCCUGCAUUUGAAUUGUGCAGUGGAGGAUAUAAAAUAUACCGUUCCGCUCAAAUUACAUUAGCCAGCCUACGCAUGUCGUAGUAACGUUAGAUCAAGGAUUCAGUAGCCUAUCUGAAGAGGCGUCACCGUUCCACAUUGCGCUGGAACGCUAGAUUUUGGCAACAUGUCGUCAAUCAUAUCCACUGAAAACAUCAGAAUUCAAUUAUAAGCGCCAUCAUUCGCUUGUCAAUGUCGCAAAUCAUACAUUUAUGAUGGCAACACAUUUUAGUUUGAUAAAUAAGCCAUAUUGAACGUUACACCGGUCCUGUUGAACUACAUUUGCUCUCCAGAAUAAUGGGUAGCCUAAUUCAAAUCUGGGUUCACCUGAAACAAACAUGGUAAAAAGUAUAUUUUAGAGGAAAAGUCUUUACCUGUGACGAAAAACGCAUGGCAAGGAGAAGGAACCCAACGUAAGCCAUCACAAUUUUAGUCAUCUUGUUAUUGGUUUCUUCACAGCACCAAUUGCGCGUAAUGUAGCUUUCCUGCCUUGGUCUUUUCUCAAGAUAAAUGACUGGAGGACAAACCCGGGGGAAUUUAUACCACCACCGAGUGUGACGUUGGGCAACACUGCGCAUCUCCCAAACCACCUGUUCAGCCUUCCAAUCAAAUGGAAACCUACAGUUUAUCAGAAACAUCCCAGAAACUACACCUCUGAGACCUCUUCUUAUACGUUUUAGGGUGUGUCUGUCAGCAACACAAAUAGCCUUUGUGUUUAUAAUCAUUGUCUUUUGAUAUGAAUUCACUGGUUUACAAUUUGAAGAGUUUGAGACAAUUAUUAUAUCUACCUUCCUCCUCAGAGAAGGUUGAUUCCAUGAGCACGAUGGGGACAUUUUUCAAACAAUAAUAAUUAUACAGUAAGUCUAGUUUAUGUUGUUCAAAAUAUAUUUACGGGGAUAUUUUGCCUGGUAAAUUGGCAAAGAAAAGUUUUACAGAUAAGCAGCUCUUAUAGCGACCUCUUCCGGUAAAUAUAAGCUUUUAACCACAACGCAAUCGGUUCAUUUGUCUAUUCCCCGUCCGUAGUAGUAGACCAAUUGGUCUUACAUGGAAGCAAAAAUUCACCGGCAUUUACAAAGAUCAACCGAACACUCGAAAAGUACAUUUCCUAAAGAAAAUCUGUGUGCUUGCUAGCUUGUCUUGAAGUAAUAUGGAUGAUAGAAUAGGAUAUCUGGAACAGGUGAAAGUUGGUUGGGUGUCUUGAACGGUUU
ensembl:lncRNA